rnacentral:tRNA from 1 species
UGUAGCUCAAUGGUAGAGUUUUUGCCUAGCAUGUAUGAGGCCCUGGGUUCAAACCCCAGUA